CCGGCCAAAAAUAACUCGCCGCUGGGACGGCGGCGGCUCCAACCGGACCCCCCCGACCCCCCCCCGCAGGGAGCCAACCAGCCCCCCCCAGAUCCGCUUUGCACCCUCAAAACAGGUGAUGGGCGACCCCCCCACUGUGCUAACCGUGGGGUGCGUGCUCCCCUCGUGCCUCAGUUUCCCCAGAUGGGAAAGGGGAGCGAAGCCCAUUUGUUGCUGCGCUUGGGGGGGGGAGGUUGGGGGGGAUUUGGGGGUGAAUUGGGGGGGUCCCACCCCCCCAAGCAGGUGGUUCUGGGUCUCGGCGGCUCUGGCCGCGGUGCCGGGAGCGGCGCCAGGACCUGGCUCCAGCCAGCGCUUUCCACUGGAAACGGGGCCGGGGUAAAUAACACCCCCCGGACCCCCCCCCCGCUUUUUGGGGGGACGGCACCGGCACAGGAGGGGGUGGAUGGUGUGUCCCCCCCCCCCCGCACCACGAUUUGGGGUGACCGGCACAGCGCGGGGGGCACAUUCCUCACCCCCAAAACCUCCCACCGGCACCGGCGGCCGUGGCGGCAUCGAGCUGACCCAAAAUUGGGGUUUUUAAACUCAAACUUCAACAUAAAGCCCUGACCCCCCCAUUAAAAAAAAUCAUAAUCAUCCUUUAUUUUUUGCCCCCCCCCCUUUAUGAAUUCUGUCCCCAUUUUCCCGUUUCCCCCCAGUUUCAGGCUCUGGAAAGACCAUCAGAGGAUCGCAGGGAAACAUCCAAGUCAGCUCAGGAAUUCGCCGUGGAGUGGAAGGAAUGAGGCUUAACUCUGCCCGGCCCGGUGCCGCCGUCACCGUGUCACCGUGUCACCGUGUCACCGUGUCACCGUGUCACCACUGUCACCGUGUCACCAUCAGCCCGGCCCGGGUGCAUCAGCAAAAAACCGCCGGCAGCGAUCCGAGCACGUCGCCCCGACUCCCCGAAGCCCCCGCUCCCGCCCCGCGGAACCCCCGAAACCCGCAGGAUUUUGCCAAAAAACCCCGUUCCUCGCUGUAAAACGGCCGCGAAUUGUGCCGGACGGGCCCCGAGCCGCGAAAGCUCGUUAGCGGCGGGGGUUAAUUGGCGAUGUGGAGGCGCUGAAUGGGGCAUUGAGGCCGUGUUUGCAGAAGCCACGUGUGUGUGUGUGUGUGUGAGGAAUGCGGAGACGAACGCUCCCGUCGAGGAACACGGAGACGGGCGAGCAGAGUCAAUAUGACCCCAGAAUCCCCGGCCCGGAGCGCGGCGCUGUGAUUUAUUCUAUUAAUAAGGAAAUCACCUUCCUGCUCGUUAACGGACGGUUGAUUAACGCGCAAAGCACCAGCGUUUUUCUCAUUCGGACCUUUAUUUGCAGUAGAAGAUAGAAAAAGGUAAUAAAUGAACUCGGUAUAAAACACACGGAGGGGAAGGGGACAAACCAGCCAACGAGGGACACGAACCGGGGCGAAAAGGGGGGAAUUCGGUACAAAACUAC